CCUACGGGUGGCAGCAGUAGGGAAUCUUCCACAAUGGGCGAAAGCCUGAUGGAGCAACGCCGCGUGGGUGAAGAAGGUCUUCGGAUCGUAAAACCCUGUUGUUAGAGAAGAAAGUGCGUGAGAGUAACUGUUCACGUUUCGACGGUAUCUAACCAGAAAGCCACGGCUAACUACGUGCCAGCAGCCGCGUUAAUACGUAGGUGGCAAGCGUUAUCCGGAUUUAUUGGGCGUAAAGGGAACGCAGGCGGUCUGUUAAGUCUGGUGUGAAAGCCUGGGGCUUAACCGGAGUAGUGCAUUGGAAACUGGGAGGCUUGAGUGCAGGAGAGGGAGGUGGAACUCCAUGUGUAGCGGUGAAAUGCGUAGAUAUAUGGAAGAACACCAGUGGCGAAGGCGGCUCUCUGGUCUGUAACUGACGCUGAGGUUCGAAAGCGUGGGUAGCAAACAGGAUUAGAUACCCGUGUAGUC
rnacentral:rRNA from 1 species